UGGGCCAGGCCACUGGCUUCAAAUAGCUUCUUAUUUCACAGACGAAGCACCCGAGUCCUUGGGGUGGAAAUCUGCCCCUCCCGUGCUGGGACAUCUCUGCCAUUACAAGGAUGGGCUGAAUGGCUUGAUUUAGCCUCUCCAAAAAGGAUUUAUCUUUGUGCCCAUGUGACAUGAAAAACUCCUGGCCUGAUGGGCACUUUCCCGGGGUGUGAACACAGGAGUGGACAAGAGGGAUUCUGGUGGCAUCGAGCUGCCACUAAGUGGACGGGCGUGUUCCAAGUGGACAUGGGGGCAGUGGAGCUGGGACCCAGCGGUACACAGAGGAGGGGCGGUGUGCCACCGUCACCAAGAGGAGCUGCUGGCCCCCCACAAGGCUCCAUCCACCUGCCUUCCUGAGUGUUGAUUCUUCUCAUCUUUCUGUGGCCCGAGUUUUAUUUGACCCAUUAAUGUGAGAUGGUGUUCAACACUAUUCCAUUUCUCCUCUUUCCAAGUCAGCCUAACUCCUACCACAGAGGAGUUUGACCUUUCCUGCCCUCCGCUGUGUGCCCUCCCUCGG